rnacentral:tRNA from 1 species
GGUCAUGUGGCCUAGUGGUUAUGGCAUCUGUCGUGGGUUCGAUUCCCAUCCCUUGACACU